rnacentral:rRNA from 1 species
AUUGAACGCUGGCGGCAUGCCUUACACAUGCAAGUCGAACGGCAGCACGGGUGCUUGCACCUGGUGGCGAGUGGCGAACGGGUGAGUAAUACAUCGGAACGUACCUUAUCGUGGGGGAUAACGCAGCGAAAGCUGUGCUAAUACCGCAUACGCCCUGAGGGGGCAAGCGGGGGAUCGCAAGACCUCGCGCGAUUAGAGCGGCCGAUGCCUGAUUAGCUUGUUGGUGGGGUAAAAGCCCACCAAGGCGACGAUCAGUAGCUGGUCUGAGAGGACGAUCAGCCACACUGGGACUGAGACACGGCCCAGACUCCUACGGGAGGCAGCAGUGGUGAAUUUUGGACAAUGGGGGCAACCCUGAUCCAGCAAUGCCGCGUGAGUGAAGAAGGCCUUCGGGUUGUAAAGCUCUUUUGUCAGGGAAGAAACACCGGCUCUAACACAGUCCGGGAAUGACGGUACCUGAAGAAUAAGCACCGGCUAACUACGUGCCAGCCGCCGCAGUAA